rnacentral:lncRNA from 1 species
UCUGAAAACCAGAUAUGUUGGCUUGCCUUGUAGCGUACUUCUUUUCAAGAACAGGGGACUUGGCUGCUUCUUUCGCCGUUUCAUUCAUGGUUCUGAACAACAACUUCAUGAAGCUUUCCUGGUUGGAGACAUUCCCCGUGUUGGAGAGGUAAACGCCGGGCCUCGUGAACAUUGUGGACAAGAUAGAGCGGUUAUUGGAAUACCAAACCAUGCACUCGUCGUACCAAAUGAUGGCUCGUUUUGAUAAGGAACAAUUUGCAUCGGAUGAAAGCUUCUGCGUGGCGUUGACCACGCACUGACCGCAAGAGGAUAAGUCGCCCCUGCACAUGAAGAGACCGUAGGCCGUGUCGUUGGAGUUUGUGGCAGGGACGGUGGUGUUGAAGAAUUCAGCGUUGGCGGUGGCGUUGGAAGAGAGAGAUGAGAAGAGGGUGUUGAGAUCCUUUUUGAAGAGGCUGUUGGGAGUGGUCUUGUUGUCUGAACAAAUAUUGUAAAGAUAAGUGGGACCUUGCGCUUUAGCGGUGGUUGCAAAAUUGAGGAGCAGCAGCAGGGAGAGUGAUACUGGGACAAGGUUGAAGGUGAUCCUCAUCCAAUUCCAACCCAUGCUAUUAUUUCAGAAUAGAAGGAUGUGUUGUAUUGUGUUAUGUUAUGCGGUAGGAGUAGUUAUAGUGUGUGAAGAAUCAGGAUUUUUCUGUGUAGGUGUGAGCAAGAUACAAGAGGAGGAGAAGAAAGCAGGUCAAGCAAGCUGACAGGUCAACCUUGUUAUUUAUUACAGCAACUCUUUUGUUUUCUGCCCGGAAAAGUGGGUAAUUGCUUAUUGGAAUGGUAUGUCCUUCUACUCUUGUAUGGUUGACUCCUUCAACUUAACUACAAAAAUCUCCCUAUAUACAAUCUCACUAUUCUUGUGUUAGAAACACACGUAAACAGAACAUAAUUGGCUAGUCCCUUAGUUGCAUAGUCCCUAAUUAAAGCUAUAUUCAUACCAAUCUAGUUACUUUGUAGCAUGAAUUCUUUGUUUAAAUUUAAGGAUCAAAAUAUAUAAUCAACAACACACUAAGGAAUAACAAAAGAUAUCAUAAUUUGAUCCCCCAGUCCAUACAAGCUCCAAAGUAUAAUUGAAAUCUUGUCUUAAUUUUAAACUAACAGCAAUGGCAAUUAGUUGCACAGAACGUUAGUCAAAAGUUAAAUACUAUUAUCUAGGAAGAAAGUUACUUAUAGACAUUUCAUUUUGUGAAAGUGGAUGUGAACUAGAACUUGAUUCCUGUGCAGCUGCUCUUUGAUCCAUCUUUUUGUCCAUGAAAAAUGCAGGUUCUUGUGGAAGUGGCAACUCAAUUGAAUGGCUGCUAAGAUAUGUAACAACGGAUGCCAUUGUUGGUCUUGCAUCAGGAUCUUGUUGAACACAUAAUAAACCAAUUCGAAUGCACUUAAGGACUUCAAUUUCUGAAUAGUUAUUUUUAAUAUUUGGGUCUAAUAUACUUAAUGAUAUGUUAUCCCUCCAUUGUCUCCAAACCUGUAACACAGUAACCUCCCACAAUCAUUAUAUAAAUCAUCUACUCUUUUUUUUUCUAUUUAUUUUUGGGAAAUCUAAGUCAUUUGAUUGAAAAUAUAUUGAAAGAGGGUUAACAUUUAGUUUUUGUCUUUAAUAUUUAUAGUGUGGGUAAUUUUAUCUGAAUAAAUUUUGGGUUCCUUUUAUACCCCUAAAGUUUUAUAAAAAGAAAUAUUAUGAAAUCAUAAAAAAUAAUUAUUUUUGAUCAUCAUUUAACUAUCAAUUCAAUCUUUUAGUCUAAUAAUUUAAUAAAAUUUUGUCUUUUUAACGAAAGAAUUUAACAUGUCAUAAUAAAAUUCUGUUUGUGUCCUAAAUAAGUUUAUCCCUAAUUUAUUUUCUCUUUGGGUUCCAGCUAUAAGAUCAAGAUAAUCUUAAAUAAUGGAUUAGACUAGAAUAUUUCUAACUCUUUCAAUAGGAUAUAUAUUUGACCCAGAGGAUAUAUAUUUGACUGAGAGUGUUAAAGGCCAGCAAUUUUUAUGUUUUGUAACUAUCAAUUGACUAUCAAUAGUAUUUUUAAUAGUGUGAAAUUAUAUUCAAUGAUAAAAAAUUAUUCACUUUUUUUUAUAGUUAAAUAAUGGCCACAAAUAUAAAAAUUACUGACCCUAGACUUUUUUUUAUUUGACCAUAUUACUCCCCACCUGUAGCGCAACGUGGUGAGAAGGUUCAAUCAGCAUGUACAUCUCACAGAGCCUCUGCCCUUUAAAGAAGAAAGGUAUUGAUAACAAAAAUGCUAAAUACAUAGUCAUUAUAUAUAUAUACAUUAAUAAUAAAUGGGAAUGAGUAAUUUUAUUGUAGACAGUACAUCAAAUAUAGUUGCAUUCAUAAGAAAAGAUUUUAGUGAGCAUUCACCUGUAGCAGAAGGACCAGGCAGCUCAGGAGGUGGAGCAUCAUCAUCAGCUCUGUAAAAUUGGAAUAAUUGAAACCUAAGAGUGCAGCUAGGACAUAGAACUCUUCCACCGACACUUCCCAAACGAGCCCAUGGUAUUGCUGAUCCAAUCACAUCACGGAGACAGUUUGUGCAGUCAUCGCUGGAGAGAUCUGGCGUACACUGAGCCAGAGUGUAAAGAGUUUGAAAGGGAUUCAAUUUUGAUUUAUCUGUCAAAUAUCGGUUACCAUUGUCACCUGUGAGGUUGGUCAAUCUAAGUAAAAUACCAGAUAGAGUAUUGAAGAAGUUUUGCUGCUGGGUAGAAAUGAAGCUGCUGGUCAUGUUGAACUCGCUAAACAAAGGACUUGCUAUAUACGUCGAGCGGAUAUCUGCUUCGGAAUAGCGAAGCAAGCAGUGACUGUACCAAAUAACAGCCUCUUUGGAGAAGCGGCAGUUGGACCAAAUUCGAUCUUUUGCAAGGACCACGCACUGUGAGCAGAGGCGGGACGGAAGGUCACCACGGCACAUGAAGAGCCCAGACACUAUACCUGCUUCCACCUUCUUAAACAAGUUACCGCUGGUGGCGUUGGAAUACAAGGAAUCGAGGAGGGUGCGGAUAUGUAACUGGAAGUCCUUAUCGGAGUCUGAGGCUUUAUUGUUACUCGAGCAAGUGCAAUUAAGAUAAACAGGAUCCUCCGUAUUUGGGCUGGCAAUGGGUAGGGUAGGAUAGGGUUUGGAUCCGCGGGUUGAAAGUUCUGUUAAAACUUUACUCUAUUCUACCCGUGGGUUGAGAAUCUCUCAACCCUAAUCCUACCCGCACCUUAAAAUUCUAAAUCCUACCCUACCCUACCUGCAGAUAUAUCAAAAGUUUUUAAAGUAAAUAUAAAAUUCAAUUAUUUCAAAUUUUAUACAUAUUAAUAACAUAAAAAAUAACAAAUUAAUACUUAAAUUAUUAAAUUAACUAACUAAUUUAGUGGUUGUUCACUUAUUGUAAGUCAUUACAUAAGAGAAAUUGUAGGUUCAACUCUCACUUUAUUCACUAUAUACCUAAUUUUUAUAAAAUAUGUGUUAUAUAUUUGAGAUGCGGGUAGGGUAGGAUAGGGUACACUCUAAACCCGUACUCUACCCUACCCGCAGGCAUACCCGGACCAUACCCUAGGAUAACUUACCCUGUCCGAACGGGUUGGACCGGAUUGAAUACCCGCAGGUAGGGUAUGAAUUGCCACCCCUACUCCGUAUCUUUUGAAUCAUUAUACGAAUAUCGUGUGGCUGGAACAAAUCCUCGUGGUCCUGGUGAAGGCGAAGGAGCCAAAGUAUUAGAGCGAUAGAAAGGGUACAACUCAUACCGAACGAAACAGCUGGGGAAUAGAACCCUCCCUCCCUGCUUUCCUCCACAGCAAGGGGUUAAUUCGGUUAUGGCUUCAGUUAGACAGCUGGCACAGUCUCGUGGUGUGAGGUUAUCGGUACACUGAGCCAUACAAUAAAGGUUCUGGAAACCAGAUAUGUUGGCUUGCCCUGUAGCGUACUUCUUUUCAAGAACCGGGGACUUGGCUGCUUCUUUCGCCGUUUCAUUCAUGGUUCUGAACAACAACUUCAUGAAGCUUUCCUGGUUGGAGACAUUCCCCGUGUUGGAGAGGUAAACGCCGGGCCUCGUGAACAUUGUGGACAAGAUAGAGCGGUUAUUGGAAUACCAAACCAUGCACUCGUCGUACCAAAUGAUGGCUCGUUUUGAUAAGGAACAAUCUGCAUCG